rnacentral:rRNA from 1 species
AGUUUACUAUUUUGCUGACGACCGGCGCACGGGUGAGUAACGCGUAUACAAUUUGCCUUUUACAGGAGGAUAGCCCAGAGAAAUUUGGAUUAAUACUCCAUGGUAUUACGAGAUCGCAUGGUUUUGUAAUUAAAGUUUCGGCGGUAGAAGAUGAGUAUGCGUCCUAUUAGCUAGUUGGUAAGGUAACGGCUUACCAAGGCGACGAUAGGUAGGGGUCCUGAGAGGGAGAUCCCCCACACUGGUACUGAGACACGGACCAGACUCCUACGGGAGGCAGCAGUGAGGAAUAUUGGUCAAUGGAGGCAACUCUGAACCAGCCAUGCCGCGUGCAGGAAGACUGCCCUAUGGGUUGUAAACUGCUUUUAUACAGGAAGAAACUUACCCACGUGUGGGUAACUGACGGUACUGUACGAAUAAGGACCGGCUAACUCCGUGCCAGCAGCCGCGGUAAUACGGAGGGUCCAAGCGUUAUCCGGAAUCAUUGGGUUUAAAGGGUCCGUAGGCGGGCGAUUAAGUCAGAGGUGAAAUCCCACAGCUCAACUGUGGAACUGCCUUUGAUACUGGUUGUCUUGAGUUACAGUGAAGUAGAUAGAAUAUGUAGUGUAGCGGUGAAAUGCAUAGAUAUUACAUAGAAUACCGAUUGCGAAGGCAGUCUACUAACUGUUAACUGACGCUGAGGGACGAAAGCGUGGGGAGCGAACAGGAUUAGAUACCCUGGUAGUCCACGCCGUAAACGAUGGUCACUAGUUGUUGGGGCUUUAUGCUUCAGUGAUUAAGCGAAAGUGAUAAGUGACCCACCUGGGGAGUACGAUCGCAAGAUUGA